rnacentral:rRNA from 1 species
UUAUUGGAGAGUUUGAUCCUGGCUCAGGACGAACGCUGGCGGCGUGCCUAAUACAUGCAAGUCGAGCGGGGGCCUUCGGGCCCCAGCGGCGGACGGGUGAGUAACACGUAGGCAACCUGCCCGC